AGAGAUGCACUAAGGUGUGUAAUUUAAUGCUCAAGAUUCAAAGAUCAAUUCGUUCGCAUAUAUGAAAAUAAUAAGCAACUGCUUUUUGACAAAGGUUGGCUAAUUGGGUGCACAAUUAGUUGAGCAUGGAUGGUGAAACACAACUUCCCACAAUGGAAUUUGUUUUGUUGUUAACUAUGUUCAACCGGCUGCUUCUGAGGGAAUUUGUUGUUGAAAAAUUAUUGUACCUUAUUUUAUUUUCAGCUUGCUUAUUAGUUUGUGUAACUGCUUAGAACAGACUAUUUCCUACUUUGUACCAUGCUGUGUUUCCUUGCUCUGAGAUUUGCUAUCAUGGCUUGCU
rnacentral:lncRNA from 1 species